ACGGGAGGCAGCAGUGAGGAAUAUUGGUCAAUGGACGUAAGUCUGAACCAGCCAAGUAGCGUGAGGGAUGACGGCCAUAUGGUUGUAAACCUCUUUUGCGAGGGAAUAAAGUGCGUCACGUGUGGUGCAUUGCAUGUACCUUGCGAAUAAGGAUCGGCUAACUCCGUGCCAGCAGCCGCGGUAAUACGGAGGAUCCGAGCGUUAUCCGGAUUUAUUGGGUUUAAAGGGUGCGUAGGCGGGCUGUUAAGUCAGCGGUGAAACCCCCGGGCUCAACCCGGGGACUGCCAUUGAAACUGGCGGCCUUGAGUACGUUGGGAGUGCGCGGAAUGUGUGGUGUAGCGGUGAAAUGCAUAGAUAUCACACAGAACACCGAUCGCGUAGGCAGCGCACUACGCCGCAACUGACGCUGAGGCACGAAGGCGCGGGGAUCGAACAGGAUUAGAUACCCUGGUA
rnacentral:rRNA from 1 species